AGAACGAACGCUGGCGGCAUGCCUAAUACAUGCAAGUCGAACGAACUCUUCGGAGUUAGUGGCGCACGGGUGCGUAACGCGUGGGAAUCUGCCCCUUGGUUCGGAAUAACAGUUGGAAACGACUGCUAAUACCGGAUGAUGACGAAAGUCCAAAGAUUUAUCGCCAAGGGAUGAGCCCGCGUAGGAUUAGCUAGUUGGUGAGGUAAAGGCUCGCCAAGGCAACGAUCCUUAGCUGGUCUGAGAGGAUGAUCAGCCACACUGGGACUGAGACACGGCCCAGACUCCUACGGGAGGCAGCAGUAGGGAAUAUUGGACAAUGGGCGAAAGCCUGAUCCAGCAAUGCCGCGUGAGUGAUGAAGGCCUUAGGUGUAAAGCUUCUUUACCCGAGAUGAUAAUGACAGUAUCGGAGAAUAAGCCCCGGCUAACGUCCGUGCCAGCACGCCGC
rnacentral:rRNA from 1 species